rnacentral:rRNA from 1 species
CCCAGGCGUCGAGCGGCGGACGGGUGAGUAACACGUGGGAAUCUGCCCAUUAGUGGGGGAUAACUCGGGGAAACUCGAGCUAAUACCGCAUAAUCCCUACGGGGGAAAGCAGGGGAUCUUCGGACCUUGCGCUGAUGGAUGAGCCCGCGUCGGAUUAGCUUGUUGGUGGGGUAAUGGCCCACCAAGGCGACGAUCCGUAACUGGUCUGAGAGGAUGGCCAGUCACACCGGGACUGAGACACGGCCCGGACUCCUACGGGAGGCAGCAGUGGGGAAUCUUGGACAAUGGGCGCAAGCCUGAUCCAGCCAUGCCGCGUGUGUGAAGAAGGCCUUCGGGUUGUAAAGCACUUUCAGUAGGGAGGAAGGCUUUGGGCUAAUACCCUGGAGUACUUGACGUUACCUACAGAAGAAGCACCGGCUAAUUUCGUGCCAGCAGCCGCGGUAAUACGAAAGGUGCGAGCGUUAAUCGGAAUUACUGGGCGUAAAGCGCGCGUAGGCGGUGUGUUAAGUCGGAUGUGAAAGCCCAGGGCUCAACCUUGGAAUUGCAUCCGAUACUGGCACGCUAGAGUGCAGUAGAGGGAGGUGGAAUUUCCGGUGUAG